UGGUGGGAACAUACUGAAUCCAAUGUCCAAUGACUGUCAUACUCAGUGGUCCCAUCUGAUACAAUCGAUAAAUCAUUCCUACUAUCCUCAGAUGAGUGUGCACCACUCUCACUAGUCGAAACACCCUUAGAAGAGCCCUUCCCCUUCUCAUCCUUCAGAAAUGGGUAAUUUCUCUUUAGUUGACUAGGCUAAUGACACUUGUAG
rnacentral:lncRNA from 1 species